GCCACAAAUGGCUGAAGAUGUUUCAACAUUGGGAUAAAUAUAAAAGCAGCCAAAAGAUGUCUCGCCGGGUGUACAAGGGGAUUCCCCCCCAAGUGCGGGGUCGGGCCUGGUCCCUUCUACUGGGUGUGGACAAGGUCAAGAUGCAGAACCCAGGCAAAUACCAGAGAAUGAAGGAGCAGGGCAAGAUGCUC